GCCCUUAGAGUUUGAUCAUGGCUCAGAAUCAACGCUGGCGGCGUGCCUCAGACAUGCAAGUCGAAUGAUUAAGACUCUCUUCGGAGAGUGUAUAGAGUGGCGCACGGGUGAGUAACACGUAGGUAAUUUGCCUUCGGGUGGGGAAUAACCGUCGGAAACGACGGCUAAUACCGCAUAAUGCAGCGGCACCAAAUGGUGACAGUUGUUAAAGCUUUAUGUGCCUGAAGAGAAGCCUGCGGUGGAUUAGGUAGUUGGUAAGGUAAUGGCUUACCAAGCCUGCGAUCCAUAUCCGGUCUUAGAGGACGGUCGGACACACUGACACUGAAUAACGGGUCAGACUCCUACGGGAGGCAGCAGUCGGGAAUUUUGGGCAAUGGGCGAAAGCCUGACCCAGCAACGCCGCGUGAAGGAUGAAGUCCUUCGGGAUGUAAACUUCGGAAGAAUGGGAAGAAUAAAUGACGGU
rnacentral:rRNA from 1 species